UGAAAAAUGGUUUGAUUCACAGCUUUAUAAUAUUUUUCCAGCUUGAAAAAUGGUUUCUUUGUCCAGGAAUUAUUUAGGUCUUUUGGUCCUUCAUGAAAAGUUUCUUUUAUUAUAUUUGUAGCAUCUGUAUUUUUCCUACAGAGAUACUUUUUUAAGUGAUAUUUUCUAGUUGGUUAUGGAUGCCUUAUUGGAAUGUGUACCCUUCUUUCUCUCCUUCAACUUUGACUCAGAUCUGACAUACUGUCAACCAAGAGUCCCUUCCUGAAUUCUCAAUUGGGUUCAAACUCUGUGUUCUUCCAGCACAAUCCCACUUUGCAUUGAAAUUUUUUUUGUUUAUGUUUGUCUCUCUCUCUCUUCCAAAGGAGUCUAAUUACUUAUUCAACACUUAUAUAUUCCUACUGUUAAGAUGGUGUCCAAAAAAUAAUAGAUGUGUGCAACUCAUGGUUUGUUGAAUUGUGGCAUAGAUUUUUAUGUUACUGUAAUAAAAGCCAAUGUAUAAUUU